AUGGGUCAUGUUACUGCUAGAUGUCCUCAAGCUAUCUGCGGUAGAUGUAAGAAGAAAGGGCACCUUGCUGUUGUUUGUUCUGAAUUUCUUCCCUGGGAAUAUGUGCCUGCGAUGUGUGCUUUUCAAGCCAAGGGGCAAGGGUUUCAUUACAUUCCUGAUUUCAGUAUUGAUAGACAGGCUAGAGAGAAUAUUUUCAACAUUGUCGUCACUAUCGUUGAGGGUUCUGCUCCUACUAAGGAUAUUGAACAUGAGCUUAGUGUUUAUGUGGGGCAAGGGUGGCGUUGCUCUGCUAGGUUUUUUGCACCUCAGAAAUUUGUGAUGAGGAUGCCUAAUCCUAGGGAAGUAGAUCGGGCUCUGUUUGUGGAGUAUGUGAGGCUGAAACAAUGCAAUGUUAAUGUUAGAUUUUCUCCCUGGUCCGAGGACAUUGAUUCUGAUGGACUAUUGGAGGUCGCUUGGGUGAGGAUUGGGAGAAUCCCUAUUAACAAAAGAUGUGAUAAGACUGUUGCUUAUGUGGGGGGCCUGGUGGGGAUCACUCUAGAGGUGGAUAUGUCUACCAUUAAUCGCCCCUCUUCAGUCCGAGCCAAGAUUGGCUGCAGGCUGGUGGAUAAACUCCCCAGCUCAGCUGAGGGGGUGCUGGGGGCCGUUUUUACAGAUUUACUUAUGAGGUUGAGGAGAUUUUGGUUAAGAACCCUGUUGUGGAGGAUGUUAAUGCUCAUAUUUCCAAUGAUGAACCUGCUAAACAUGAUCAAACUCCAAAGAGGAAGCGUGAUGAUCCUAAAGAUGGUGAUAGUCGCUCGGACUUCCCUGAUCGUGACAGAAGUGGUACUUCCCGUGGUGGUAAAACCUGUCGUUUACUGCCAGUGGAGAAUGAGAUGUCUGCCUCCUCUGAAAGUGAGGUAG
rnacentral:rRNA from 1 species